UUUUUGAAAAUUUUGUUCCACUUAUACUAAAUUCAUCAUUUGCAUUAGGAUAUUAAACACUCCACAAAUUUUCUAAUUUUUUUAGUUUGAAAUGAUGAUUGUUUAUCACAGACCUGUUCUGAAAAAAUUCUUGACGACAUAAGAACGGCCAACUGAAACUUGGAGUAGUUGAUCUAAUUUAUGAAUCGUUUCCAAUGUUUUCUCAACUCUUUUUCUUUAUUUUCAGAUUUGGAUAUAAUGACUAGAUGAAGUGGUGAAAGUUUAAAGUAGAUAUCUGGAAACUAUAUGAUGUUGAUAAGAUAGCGAAAAUGAUUCAAUGAAUAACCUAACCACAAGUUCCAGGCUUAGUUCGAUGUUGAACUCUCUUCUAAAGGAACUGGAAAAUUGUGGAACACGAUGAUUUUUAUCUGAGUAUAAUCUCCAGCAGUUCAAAACAAGUGUAGAGGCACCUCAUAGUGUUCAGAGCACCCACUAUGUGAUGUCCUUUCUUGGGGGAUACAAAAUGAAAAAUGAAAUUGGAGGAUAUGACAAUUAGGAAUCUAGCAGAGGGAAAUAGAUGGACAAUUUUUGGUGUGGAAUUGAAGAAUUUUCACCAAUAACUGUUGGGUAAAUGAACUUUACCAACUUGAAACACUUCAACUAGUCUCAACUCAACUUUUUUUUGCUCAUCUUUGGCUCAUGUUCUGUUGAGGAUUUUCAGUGGAGAAGAAAUUAUGCACACAUUGAGAUGAGAAUCAUUCAUGAAAUUUUACUUGUUUGCCCGCUGAAGAAGCUUUGCUUGAAAUGAUUGCCAUCCAUCUUCCAUCACCAGUAACUGCCCAGAAAUAUCGUAUGGAGAUGCUUUAUGAAGGACCACAUCAUCACGAAGAGACUGUCGGUAUGUAUAUUCAAUCCACAUUGUAACUCAUUUCAAAAAGUUAGAUAGAUGGUAACUUUUCCAUUAUUUUCCAUCCUGUCUUGACAUGUACUUUGGAUUAUUUCUCUCUUAAUAAUUUAAACUUUGUUUAAUAUUUUCGAAUCUCUCAUUUCAAUCCAGUUCUUAGUAUUGUGUUGAUCCAUUAGAUUCGUAAAGUAAAGUCACUACUUGCCCCUUUCAGAACAUCCAAUGUUUUGGAAUGGUUUCCCUUAAGUGAGACAUUUCUAUGAUGAAAUUUUUUUUCAUAUUCAUCAUUGCUAUGUCACCUUGACCAAUUUUUUUAUUUUUCAUUUUCAACUUUUCGUGUCAUUAUGUACUUGUCUAAGAAAUCAUUCAUUAAAUGAUUUUAUUCUCACUCACUCUUUUUUCGCUCAUUAAUGAGUUGCACAACUUUCUUGCUCAGAAGUUCUAUAUUUCAAUUUUUGUUAAGAUAAUAUUUACACUAGCUCGUACUUUGAGUUCUUCCAACAGGAGCUUAUGGACAUUCUGCAAUCUUGCUGUAAAUCUUUUUGGCAAUAUAAGUGACAUCUGCCAUCAGGGCAAUUCUCCUUGUAUGUGUUCUUUUGGGAAGGCUGCAUAAACCCUCCCUAAGUGUAGCAUUCCUAAAAAUCUGAGAUAGUCACUAUCGAUUCCAAAAUUUUCAUGAUGAAUAUUCUUCACAGACCUGUUCUGACCAUUAAUUGAUGACAAAAGUGUUCUUUUGUCAACUGAUUCAUGCAAUAAUUUGUCCCUCUUUUCUUCAUUUGGAACGCAUUCAAGAGGAAUUUUUGUUUCAGGUAUUUGGUAUUGCACUGAGGAUAUUUCUCCCUCGCUGACAUUUGAGGUACUGGAGCUAUGAAAAAUGGGACAAAACUUCUGAUUACCACAAAAUCUGAAGCUACAAAUUACCGGUCAUUCUCAGGGAUUUAGAAAAAAAAAUGAGGAAAUAUCAAAUCAUUUGGUGUUUUUUCUCAUUUUUGUUUGGAAAGGUAGGUAGGUGUGACGUCUGAAAUUUGAAGCUGUAAAGAAGAUGAUCCUUUAUUUUUUCAUAUCAUAGUAAGUAAACAUUUUAUAAAAAUUUAACAUGUAAGGUACAUAAUAAUAAAUAUAACAAAGAAA